rnacentral:rRNA from 1 species
UAAAUUUUAUUUAUUAAUUUUAUUUAUUUAAGUAUUAUAUUUAAUAAAAAUAAUUUUAAUUCAAUAUAGUUUUAGUAUUUUUUAAAGAAAUAAUAAUUUUAAUAAUAGUUUAUUUGUAUUGUAAAAGAAGAUUGAAAUAAUUUGAAAAAUUUUUAUUUUAAAAGAAAAUUUAAUUUAUUGUACCUUGUGUAUCAGGGUUUAUUAAUUAAUUAAUUAUUAUAGUAAUUUUUCUCGAAUUUUAAAGAUUUAAUUAUAUAUAAAAGUUAUUGUGGAAUAAUUAUUUUUAAUAUAUAAUUAGAAAUGAAAUGUUAAUCGUUUUAAAAUAUAUCUAGUUUUUUAAGAAAUAAAUUUAAUUUAGAUUUAUAAAUUAAAAGUAUUAUUUAUUUAAUAUUUUUAAUUUAUAAAAUUAAUAUUUUAAGGGAUUAGCUUUAAAAUAAAUUUUUAAAUUUUAAAAAAGUAUUUAAUAAAUGUAAGCUUAAAAAUAGUUAUCAUUAAUAAAUUUGUUAUAAUUUAUUUUAAAUUUUUUAUUAUUUAUUAUAAAAUUAAAUUAUUUAUUAAAAUAUAAAUUUUAAUAUUAAUGAUUUAUAAAUUAUGGUAAAAUUAGUAUAUUUAAUUUAUAUAAAUUAUUUAAAUUGAGAGGUUUAAAUAAGGAAUUCGGCAAAUUAUAUAUUCACCUGUUUAUCAAAAACAUGUCUUUUUGUAUUUAAUUUAAAGUCUAACCUGCCCACUGAUAGAUAUUAAAGGGCCGCAGUAUUUUGACUGUGCGAAGGUAGCAUAAUCAGUAGUCUUUUAAUUGAAGGCUUGUAUGAAUGGUUGAAUGAGAUAUAUACUGUCUUUUUUAAAUUUUUAUAGAAUUUUAUUUUUUAAUUAAAAAGUUAAAAUAUAAUUAAAAGACGAGAAGACCCUAUAGAUCUUUAUUUUUUUUAAUUAUAAGUUAAAAAGAAUAAUUAAAUUUAUAGUUUUAUAAAAAAUUUUACUGGGGUGGUAUUAAAAUUUAAUUAACUUUUAUUAUUUGUUUACAUUAAUAUAUGUAUAUUUGAUCUAAUUUUAUUGAUUAAAAAAUUAAGUUACCUUAGGGAUAACAGCGUAAUUUUUUUUUAGAGUUCUUAUCGACAAAAAAGAUUGCGACCUCGAUGUUGGAUUAAGAAUUAUUUUUAGGUGUAGAAGUUUAAAGUUUAGGUCUGUUCGACCUUUGAAUUCUUACAUGAUCUGAGUUCAAACCGGCGUAAGCCAGGUUGGUUUCUAUCUUUAAUAAAUUAUUAUAUUAUAGUACGAAAGGACCUAAUAUAAAAAAUAUAAAUUUUAAAUUUAUGAAUUAUAUUAAUAUUUAAUAA